CCCUUAGAUGUUCUGGGCCGCACGCGCGCUACACUGAUGCAUUCAACGAGCCUAUCCUUGACCGACAGGUCCGGGUAAUCUUUGAAUCUGCAUCGUGACGGGGAUAGAUUAUUGCAAUUAUUAAUCUUCAAUGAGGAAUGCCUAGUAGGCGCAAGUCAUCAGCUUGCGUCGAUUACGUCCCUGCCCUUUGUACACACCGCCCGUCGCUCCUACCGAUUGGGUGUGCUGGUGAAAUGUUCGGAUCGGCCGUUUGUCGCGGUUUCCGCGUCAUGUGGCUGAGAAGUUCAUUAAACCCUCCCACCUAGAGGAAGGAGAAGUCGUAACA
rnacentral:rRNA from 1 species